GCGCACGCUGGCGGCAGGCCUAACACAUGCAAGUCGAACGGAUCCUUCGGGAUUAGUGGCGGACGGGUGAGUAACACGUGGGAACGUGCCCUUUGGUUCGGAACAACCCAGGGAAACUUGAGCUAAUACCGGAUGUGCCCUUCGGGGGAAAGAUUUAUCGCCAUUGGAGCGGCCCGCGUCUGAUUAGCUAGUUGGUGAGGUAACGGCCCACCAAGGCGACGAUCAGUAGCUGGUCUGAGAGGAUGAUCAGCCACACUGGGACUGAGACACGGCCCAGACUCCUACGGGAGGCAGCAGUGGGGAAUCUUGCGCAAUGGGCGAAAGCCUGACGCAGCCAUGCCGCGUGAAUGAUGAAGGUCUUAGGAUUGUAAAAUUCUUUCAGCGGGGACGAUAAUGACGGUACCCGCAGAAGAAGCUCCGGCUAACUUCGUG
rnacentral:rRNA from 1 species